rnacentral:rRNA from 1 species
AUUGAACGCUGGCGGCAGGCCUAACACAUGCAAGUCGAACGGUAACAGGAAACAGCUUGCUGUUUCGCUGACGAGUGGCGGACGGGUGAGUAAUGUCUGGGAAACUGCCUGAUGGAGGGGGAUAACUACUGGAAACGGUAGCUAAUACCGCAUAACGUCGCAAGACCAAAGAGGGGGACCUUCGGGCCUCUUGCCAUCGGAUGUGCCCAGAUGGGAUUAGCUAGUAGGCGGGGUAACGGCUCACCUAGGCGACGAUCCCUAGCUGGUCUGAGAGGAUGACCGCCCCACCUGAACUUGGCCACGGUCCCGGGCACUAAGGGAGGCAGCAGUGGGGAAUAUUGCACAACGGGCGCAAGCCUGAUGCAGCCAUGCCGCGUGUAUGAAGAAGGCCUUCGGGUUGUAAAGUACUUUCAGCGGGGAGGAAGGGAGUAAAGUUAAUACCUUUGCUCAUUGACGUUACCCGCAGAAGAAGCACCGGCUAACUCCGUG